AAGGAGUUCGCCGAAAAUCCUGAAAGAGUAGGCA
rfam:Chryseobacterium sp. Leaf180 contig_2, whole genome shotgun sequence.